AGCGGCAUGCGGGUCCUUACCAUGCAGUCGAACGAUGAACCGGUUUCGGCCGGGGAUUAGUGGCGAACGGGUGAGUAACACGUGGGCAAUCUGCCCUGCACUCUGGGACAAGCCCUGGAAACGGGGUCUAAUACCGGAUACUGACCUUCACGGGCAUCCGUGGGGGUCGAAAGCUCCGGCGGUGCAGGAUGAGCCCGCGGCCUAUCAGCUUGUUGGUGAGGUAAUGGCUCACCAAGGCGACGACGGGUAGCCGGCCUGAGAGGGCGACCGGCCACACUGGGACUGAGACACGGCCCAGACUCCUACGGGAGGCAGCAGUGGGGAAUAUUGCACAAUGGGCGGAAGCCUGAUGCAGCGACGCCGCGUGAGGGAUGACGGCCUUCGGGUUGUAAACCUCUUUCAGCAGGGAAGAAGCGAAAGUGACGGUACCUGCAGAAGAAGCGCCGGCUAACUACGUGCCAGCAGCCGCGGUAAUACGUAGGGCGCAAGCGUUGUCCGGAAUUAUUGGGCGUAAAGAGCUCGUAGGCGGCUUGUCGCGUCGGUUGUGAAAGCCCGGGGCUUAACCCCGGGUCUGCAGUCGAUACGGGCAGGCUAGAGUUCGGUAGGGGAGAUCGGAAUUCCUGGUGUAGCGGUGAAAUGCGCAGAUAUCAGGAGGAACACCGGUGGCGAAGGCGGAUCUCUGGGCCGAUACUGACGCUGAGGAGCGAAAGCGUGGGGAGCGAACAGGAUUAGAUACCCUGGUAGUCAACGCCGUAAACGGUGGGC
rnacentral:rRNA from 1 species